ensembl:lincRNA
UGCUUGGGGACGCAUCGGCCACUGCCUUGGACACCCUGCCCCCCUUGCUGUGCGGCCAGCUGGGGUUUGUUACAAGUGACAACCGGGCUAAGGAGUGUCAGCUGCAUGGCUCAGAGGUGGGAUCUUUCAUACUCUCCACUGGGACCAUGUUCUUUCAGCCCAGACACAACCACGCUUUUGAGAGCAAGCUCCUCCCAGCCUCAGGAAGGACCACAGAGGCUGAUUAGAGGUUUCCUGCACAGCCUCCUUGCAAUCUGCAAAGCCAGGGUGGAAGGCCAGCUCUGCAUACCUGCCUCAGAGCUGACUGCGAAAUCCUGAGACCAGCCCAUGAAGAUCUGCAAUGCAGACUGGUUUGUUUUUCAAACCAAGUUUCACUCUGGCAUCUGAUAGACUGAACACAGUGAAAAGCUGCCUCCACAGGACGUUGGAUUGGCUACAUAAUGGCCAUGUCACAAACAGGGCUGUGUUUGCAAGUAAGUUCUGAGUUUGGAAUCUUUCCACCAGACCUAGGAUUGUAGGGGGCAUCCUUUGGUGACAAAUAGCUUUGAGUCACCUCUGUGCCUUGUGAGAGCUGGGAGUUGACAGUUUCCUGUUCACAAGAUCCAUUCAUUCACUUACUGAGUCACAGGUAUUAUUAGAACCACUGCUAGGCGGUGGUUGCAGAUAUGGGCUUCCCAAGUGGUGCAGUGGUAAAGAAUCUGCCUGCCAAAGCAGGAGACACAAGAGAUGUGGGUUUGAUCCCUGGGUUGAGAAGAUUCACUGGAGGUGGGAAUGGAAACCCACUCCAGUAAUCUUGCCUGGAGAAUUCCAUGGACAGAGAAGUCUGGCGGACUAUAGUUCAUGGAGUCUCAAAGAAUUGGACAUGACUGAGCAACUGAGCUUGCAUGUAGGCACUGAGAACCUGCAGUGAAUGACCAAAGCCUUUCUCUCAUUGAGCUUCCAUUCCAAUGCUUGGGGUGGGGCAAAAAAUAAUAAACAAACAAGUCCAUGCUGUAACAUCUCAGAGAAACAAAUGUUGAGAUGAAAAAUACAGCAGAGUAAAGGGAAGGCUAGAGGUCGAUGGGGCUGUUCUCCUUCAGAUGAUCAGAUGAAACCCCCUCUGGGGAAGAGGCAUUGAAUCAAGCUGAGAAUGGAGCCAGUGGGCUCCCAUCCAGAGUAAGGGAGAAUUGUGGGAUGAAAUUCUGCGGCUUUAACCAAAUCUAUUUCCACCUUUCCUUUCUUUACCCUUGGCCCCUGCCAGCCCUCCCUCAAGCUCAGGCAUCCCAUCACUCUGAUUCCAGAGAGCUUGCCAGCACAAAACCAAAAGACGAAAAAGCAAUGCUUUCUAAAACUUCAAAAUAGGUUCUAGAACUCGUAGCAAUAGGUUUUGCUUGGCUAGAGCCAUGCUUCGGGAAGACCAAGUCCUGAAGAGCUGAGGGUCUGCAGUGUGUAUCAAGCUAUAGAUCUAGAAGGGCAGGCAAGCAGAUCUCCUGGGUCCCAGAUGAACAUUCCCUGGCUGUGCAGAAGGGUAGGGAGAGGCUGGAGAGGGUUGGAGUAUGCCUCCUGCAGUCCAUGGCAGUGAUGUGCUACAGGUAUUCUUACCGGAAAGUCUGGAGAGUGCUGAGAAGGUGAUGUAGCUGACAUAUCAGGUCAGAGCCUGGUGCUUU